rnacentral:lncRNA from 1 species
AGCAAGCCGCCAACUUACGCUCCUCCACCCAAGUCACCCAGCAAGCCGCCAACUUACGCUCCUCCGACCAAGCCACCAACUUACGCCCCUCCACCCAAGCCACCAGUUUAUCCUCCAACUAAGCCACCGACUGCGCCCCCGACUAAGCCACCAGUGCACCCACCAACAUAUCCUCCACCAUCGCCUUCUCCACCUAAGCCGCCAACUUAUCCUAAACCACAAAGGAGCCUAGUGGCUGUUCAGGGCGUUGUUUUUUGCAAGUCAUGCAAAUACGCUGGAUCUGACACCCUGUUGGGAGCGAAGCCUAUUUUGGGUCAGUUUGAAACCUAUCAUUAUACUUAAAAAAAGAGAUUAAAAUUUACAUCUUUUCACUAAACAAAAACUUUAAGUGCAAUGCUUGGUUAUAUUCAUUUGCAUCGAGAAUUAUUAGCCCUAGUACGUCUAUCUUUUUAAUGGCCUAAUAAUUUUGAUUUAGGCAUGCAUGUGACUUCCAUGUUUGUUUGAAAGGGGAAACUUGCAUUUUAAAUUUGAGUUCAGAGAGAGAGAGAGAGAGAGAGAAAUGGUUUCUUGGAUUUUAACUUAAAAGAGUGACUGUGUGAGGUAACGUCAAUAGCUUGGCGUUUUAUGAGUUAAAGCAGCAAACUUUACCUUUUUUCAACGUUAGAGCUCAUACUUCUAGGUUCCUACAACAUCAAUGACUGGCAUGCAUUGCAUUGUCAUGGAACCCUACGUUGAAACUUGAAACAAAAGGAAAAAACCCAUUAGCUUCUUUUUCUUUUCCCAUUGAAGAGUUAAUUAAUUUAAAACUAUACUCGAGUAAUACUGACUAGACUGAGCACAUUGGUUUUGAUUUUUAUAGGUGCCACUGUAAAGCUGACAUGCAAGAACACCAAAUACAAGCAAGAGGCCACUGCGAAAACUGACAAGAAUGGCUAUUUCUUCCUGCAAGCACCAAAGACCGUCACCAGCUUUGGAGCCCACAAAUGCACAGU